rnacentral:rRNA from 1 species
GCGAGUGGCGAACGGGUGAGUAACAUAUCGGAACGUGCCCUGGAGUGGGGGAUAACUAGUCGAAAGAUUAGCUAAUACCGCAUACGAUCUACGGAUGAAAGUGGGGGAUCGCAAGACCUCAUGCUCGUGGAGCGGCCGAUAUCUGAUUAGCUAGUUGGUGGGGUAAAGGCCUACCAAGGCAUCGAUCAGUAGCUGGUCUGAGAGGACGACCAGCCACACUGGAACUGAGACACGGUCCAGACUCCUACGGGAGGCAGCAGUGGGGAAUUUUGGACAAUGGGCGCAAGCCUGAUCCAGCAAUGCCGCGUGAGUGAAGAAGGCCUUCGGGUUGUAAAGCUCUUUUGUCAGGGAAGAAACGGUUGAGGCUAAUAUCCUUUACUAAUGACGGUACCUGAAGAAUAAGCACCGGCUAACUACGUGCCAGCAGCCGCGGUAAUACGUAGGGUGCAAGCGUUAAUCGGAAUUACUGGGCGUAAAGCGUGCGCAG